GCCGGCGUAGUACAAUGGUUAGUACGUUGCUUUCCUAGAUUCCGUAGGCAGAGGUUGUGGGUUCGAGUCCCAUCGUCGGUU